UAGAAAUUCCAGCAGUGUCCCAAUGUGAACACUUCAUGAAUUUGCACAUUUACCUAGACUGCUAUUUAAAUGAUAUUCCCUCCCCAUGCACAUGCCGAGAGGAAGAAGGGGAGGCAAUCCAAGUACUCCCUAAACUGACAGAGAUGUGGAGGGAGUGAUGGAGGAUAAGACAGUCUAAGGUAAGCUUGAAGCUGCAUCUUAUAAGGUAGACUGUGGAGUGUUGACCUUGAAAACAUCUUUCCUCUGACUGGGCAGUCUUCUCAUGACAAUUCUUCUCUCUUCUUCUGUCUUUGUCCCUUCUGUGUGCCCCCCUCUCCCAACACCUUUCCCUGUUUGUCCCCCACCUGUGUCUGUCUGCCCCUCCCUGUCUGGCUCAUGCUGAGGGCAGGCACCUCUGUCAGCCUCCUCGCAGUGGUAGUUAUUGUGUGUGGCGUGGCCCUGGUGGCAGUUUUUCUCUUUCUCUUUUGGAAGCUGUGCUGGAUGCCCUGGAGGACCAAGGAGGCCUCCAGCCCCUCUUCUGCUAACCCUCCUCCAGAAGCCCUCCAGAACCUCAGCUCCAGAGGCAACAUGGCUGACAAGCUGAAGGACCCCAGUACCCUGGGCUUCCUAGAGACGGCUGUGAAGAUCAGUCAUACAUCUCCAGAUAUCCCAGCUGAGGUGCAGAUGUCUGUCAAGGAGCACAUCAUGCGUCACACACGGCUUCAGCGACAGACGACAGAGCCGGCGUCAUCUACCAGGCACUCGUCUUUCAAGCGCCACCUGCCCCGGCAGAUGCAUGUCUCCAGUGUGGACUAUGGGAAUGAGCUGCCCCCGGCGGCGGAGCAGCCCACCAGCAUCGGCCGCAUCAAGCCUGAGCUCUACAAGCAGAAGUCGGUGGACGGGGAUGAUGCCAAAUCCGAGGCUGCCAAAAGCUGCGGGAAGAUCAACUUCAGCCUCCGCUACGACUACGAAAAUGAGACCCUGAUCGUACGCAUUCUGAAGGCCUUUGACCUCCCCGCCAAGGACUUCUGCGGCAGCUCUGACCCUUAUGUCAAGAUCUACCUCCUGCCCGACCGCAAGUGCAAGCUGCAGACCCGGGUGCACCGCAAGACCCUGAACCCCACCUUUGAUGAGAACUUCCACUUCCCUGUGCCCUAUGAAGAGCUGGCGGACCGCAAGCUGCAUCUCAGCGUCUUCGACUUCGACCGCUUCUCCCGCCACGACAUGAUUGGCGAGGUCAUUCUGGACAACCUCUUUGAGGCUUCUGACCUGUCCAGGGAGACUUCCAUCUGGAAGGACAUCCAGUACGCCACAAGUGAAAGCGUGGAUUUGGGAGAAAUCAUGUUCUCCCUCUGCUAUCUGCCCACAGCAGGCAGGCUCACCCUCACCGUGAUCAAAUGCCGGAACCUCAAGGCCAUGGACAUCACAGGCUAUUCAGAUCCCUAUGUCAAAGUGUCCCUGCUUUGUGAUGGGCGGAGACUGAAGAAGAAGAAAACCACCAUCAAGAAGAACACUCUCAAUCCUGUCUACAAUGAGGCCAUUAUCUUUGACAUUCCUCCAGAGAACAUGGACCAAGUCAGCCUGCUCAUCUCAGUGAUGGAUUAUGACCGAGUGGGCCACAAUGAGAUCAUCGGCAUUUGCCGUGUGGGGAUCAAUGCUGAAGGCCUGGGCAGGGACCACUGGAACGAGAUGCUGGCUUACCCGCGGAAGCCCAUCGCCCAUUGGCACUCCUUGGUGGAGGUAAAGAAAUCCUUCAAAGAGGGAACCCCUCGGUUGUGAUUUCAUUCACGUGGAUGCUGCAAGCAGUGAGACUGCCACCCGGAGUUAGGAUGGCAGGGCCGAGCUGCUAGCUUCGACAGUGAGAGCUCGUGCCCAUCUCCAAAGCCACCUCCAACACCCUGAGCCACAUGGCCAAGCGGCACAGAUGGGACUCAGCAGCAUUCAUUUUGCACUUGUUCCACCGUCUCAACACAGUGUUGUGUGGCAGCGGUGGCAGCACGUCUCUCACUCCGGAGUCCACACCACUCCCAUGUAGGUCAAGACCGAGACACUUGUCGUGUGGUCAGAUUUGUCU